CGGUUGAUCCUGCCGGAGGCCACUGCUAUCGGGGUUCGAUUAAGCCAUGCGAGUCGAGAGGUGCAAGACCUCGGCGCACUGCUCAGUAACACGUGGACAACCUACCCUGUGGAGGGGGAUAACCCCGGAAAACUGGGGAUAAUACCCCAUAGGUUAGGGUGGCUGGAAUGCCCCCUAGCUCAAAGGUCCGCCGCCACAGGAUGGGUCUGCGGCCGAUUAGGUUGUUGUUGGGGUAACGGCCCAACAAGCCUUUGAUCGGUACGGGUUGUGUGAGCAAGAGCCCGGAGAUGGAUUCUGAGACACGAAUCCAGGCCCUACGGGGCGCAGCAGGCGCGAAAACUUUACAAUGCGAGAAAUCGUGAUAAGGGAACCCCGAGUGCCCGUAAAUUCGGGCUGUCCGCCAGUGCAAAAAACUGGUGAAGAAAGAGCCGGGCAAGACCGGUGCCAGCCGCCGCGGUAAUACCGGCGGCUCGAGUGGUGGCCACUAUUACUGGGCUUAAAGCGUCCGUAGCUUGGUUGUUAAGUCUCCUGGGAAAUCCAUCGGCUCAACCGAUGGGCGUUCAGGAGAUACUGGCAACCUAGGGACCGGGAGAGGUGAGAGGUACUCCAGGGGUAGGAGUGAAAUCCUGUAAUCCUUGGGGGANCACCUGUGGCGAAGGCGUCUCACUAGAACGGCUCCGACAGUGAGGGACGAAAGCUGGGGGAGCAAACCGGAUUAGAUACCCGGGUAGUCCCAGCUGUAAACGAUGCGCGUUAGGUGUAUCGGUGACCACGAGUCACCGAGGUGCCNAAGGGAAACCGUGAAACGUGCCGCCNG
rnacentral:rRNA from 1 species